rnacentral:rRNA from 1 species
UAAGGAAUAUUGGUCAAUGGGGGCAACCCUGAACCAGCCAUGCCGCGUGCAGGAAGACGGCCCUACGGGUUGUAAACUGCUUUUAUACGGGAAUAAACCUCUUUACGUGUAAAGAGUUGAAUGUACUGUAAGAAUAAGGAUCGGCUAACUCCGUGCCAGCAGCCGCGGUAAUACGGAGGAUCCAAGCGUUAUCCGGAUUUAUUGGGUUUAAAGGGUGCGUAGGCGGCCUAUUAAGUCAGGGGUGAAAGACGGUGGCUCAACCAUCGCAGUGCCUUUGAUACUGAUGGGCUUGAUUACACUUGAGGUAGGCGGAAUGUGACAAGUAGCGGUGAAAUGCAUAGAUAUGUCACAGAACACCAAUUGCGAAGGCAGCUUACUAAGGUGU